rnacentral:rRNA from 1 species
GUAGCUGGUCUGAGAGGAUGGCCAGCCACACUGGGACUGAGACACGGYCCAGACUCCUACGGGAGGCAGCAGUGGGGAAUAUUGGACAAUGGGGGCAACCCUGAUCCAGCAAUGCCGCGUGUGUGAAGAAGGCCUGAGGGUUGUAAAGCACUUUCAGUGGGGAGGAGGAUUGACAGGUUAAGAGCUAGUUAAUUGGACGUUACCCACAGAAGAAGCACCGGCUAACUCCGUGCCAGCAGCCGCGGUAAUACGGAGGGUGCAAGCGUUAAUCGGAAUUACUGGGCGUAAAGGGUGCGUAGGUGGUUUGAUAAGUUAUCUGUGAAAUCCCYGGGCUUAACCUGGGMAGGUCAGAUAAUACUGUUAGACUCGAGUAUGG